UUAAGUUUAUUAUGACUAUAUAUUGUGCUAUAAUAAAUAAUAGUAAUGGAUUAUUCAUUCGUUCUUUAUUUCUCGAUAUAAAAUUGAUAUAUAGAAAACAGACGGCACUAAUCAGAAGAAAAAUUUAUUUCAAAAACAUUUUCAAUUUAUUCGUGAAGUUAUCCUACCAUUACACCACACAAACCAUUCUUUAUGUCAGUAGUGUACCUGAGAAAGAUCUCAUGAGUAGGUUGAAAGCAUUUCUGAAAUAAAUUUUUUUCUCCUGAAUAUUUAGUAUAUUAACAUAUUGUAUUUUCAAUUUGACUUGGUUGACACAAUGAAUCCACUGUGUGC
rnacentral:lncRNA from 1 species